GAAAUGCGAUAAGUAAUGUGAAUUGCAGAAUUCAGUGAAUCAUCGAAUCUUUGAACGCACAUUGCGCCCGCCAGUAUUCUGGCGGGCAUGCCUGUCCGAGCGUCAUUUCAACCAUCAAGCCCCCGGACUUGUGUUGGGGACCUGCGGCUGCCCGCAGGCCCUGAAAACCAGUGGCGGGCUCGCUGUCACACCGAGCGUAGUAGCAAUCACCUCGCUCAGGGCGUGCUGCGGGUUCCGGCCGUUAAACAGCCUUACAAAACCCAAGGUUGACCUCGGAUCAGGUAGGAAGACCCGCUGAACUUAAGC
rnacentral:misc_RNA from 1 species